rnacentral:rRNA from 1 species
UGGGGAAUAUUGCACAAUGGGCGCAAGCCUGAUGCAGCCAUGCCGCGUGUGUGAAGAAGGCCUUCGGGUUGUAAAGCACUUUCAGCGGGGAGGAAGGCGAUAAGGUUAAUAACCUCAUCGAUUGACGUUACCCGCAGAAGAAGCACCGGCUAACUCCGUGCCAGCAGCCGCGGUAAUACGGAGGGUGCAAGCGUUAAUCGGAAUUACUGGGCGUAAAGCGCACGCAGGCGGUUUGUUAAGUCAGAUGUGAAAUCCCCGGGCUCAACCUGGGAACUGCAUCUGAUACUGGCAAGCUUGAGUCUCGUAGAGGGGGGUAGAAUUCCAGGUGUAGCGAUGAAAUGCGUAGAGAUCUGGAGGAAUACCGGUGGCGAAGGCGGCCCCCUGGACGAAGACUGACGCUCAGGUGCGAAAGCGUGGGGAGCAAACAGG